CCCUCCUUCAGGCCAGCCUGGUGAGGUUUCCGGGUGGAAAUUAUCCUGCUGCACAACACUGGCAAAACCUUGUCUACUCACAGAGGGAAAAGAAGAAUAUUGCUGCUCAACGAAUUAGGGGAUCCAGUGCAGACAGCCUUGUCACUGCUGAUAGCCCCCCACCAUCCAUGUCAUCAGUUAUGAAGAAUAACCCACUCUAUGGUGACCUAAGUUUGGAGGAAGCUAUGGAAGAAAGAAA
rnacentral:lncRNA from 1 species